UUCUUACGUUGCUGCAAGAAAGUGAUCUACCUAUCCUUUUAAAAAAUUGAAUGCAAAUCAAUCGAUGACAUUGAUAUAUAUACAUAAUCGGUAAACAAAUAAGAGAAAAAUAGAUCAGUUGUUAAGCACUAAAUCUCUUGUUCCAUCGAUGGGAUCAUGUAGAGGAUUUGUUGAGCACUAUUUCCCUCUUUUUUUAUUUCCUAUCCCUCUCCCAUUCUCAUCCUUUCAAUUUUCCACCUAUGUUUCUAGCAUUU
rnacentral:lncRNA from 1 species